rnacentral:rRNA from 1 species
AAAGGAAUUGACGGGGACCCGCACAAGCGGUGGAUGAUGUGGAUUAAUUCGAUGCAACGCGAAAAACCUUACCUACCCUUGACAUGUCCGGAACCCUGAAGAGAUUCGGGGGUGCUCGCAAGAGAACUGGAACACAGGUGCUGCAUGGCUGUCGUCAGCUCGUGUCGUGAGAUGUUGGGUUAAGUCCCGCAACGAGCGCAACCCUUGCCAUUAGUUGCUACGAAAGGGCACUCUAAUGGGACUGCCGGUGACAAACCGGAGGAAGGUGGGGAUGACGUCAAGUCCUCAUGGCCCUUAUGGGUAGGGCUUCACACGUCAUACAAUGGUCGGGACAGAGGGUUGCCAACCCGCGAGGGGGAGCUAAUCCCAUAAACCCGAUCGUAGUCCGGAUUGCAGUCUGCAACUCGACUGCAUGAAGUCGGAAUCGCUAGUAAUCGCGGAUCAGAAUGCCGCGGUGAAUACGUUCCCGGGUCUUGUACACACCGCCCGU